ACAGAAUAGAACGUCUGUUUGCCAGCUACAGCAGCGCGCCCCCUGAACGAUAACGGAGAGGUCAGUGAGAAGCCUGACCACGGAGACGGGGGUAAGAAGCAACGAUAAAAGACCAUCGGAAUAUUCGGUAGAGAUCCGAUAGACCAGAAGGCUGCAAUUAAUAUCCAUGCCAAACGGUGGAGCUGCUCGAUAGCAAACCAAGCCUGCGGCCAAACGGAGAAGGUUUGGCAUACAUGAAGAAUCAGCUUGACACAAUCACACAGGACAAGACUGAGCAUCUAAGGCAGCAUUCCUCUGAUGAAGAGGACUUCUUCUCAUCACUGACAACCAAACGGUCAGAAGGUACAAGGGAGCUGGAUGGGUAUCAUGCUAGUCCAUUGGACAAAAUUCUUUACCACAUUUUCUUCCUGUACAUAAAGAAGUUGUCCCUCAAACUCAACACAGGCCUGCCUGCAUCUGACGCCUGUGAGUGUCUUUUUAGCUGUGCUGGACUCCUCGUCACUGCAAAGCGAGCCAGGAUAGACUCAAUUAACUUAGAAAAUCAGUUCCUACUGAAACUGAAUGGCAAAUUCAGAGAGAAGUGAAGUGAGUUAAGUGUUCGAUCGGUAGUUCCACAGAAAAUAUGCCUUUUGAACAUUGUAUAUCAUUUGUAUAUCAGCUGUGCUGGAUCUUAUCUUGUUGGUUAUUAUCUGGUGUUUUAUGAAACAUUUAGCCUGUCACGCGUUACAUGUAAACAAUAUUACAUAUAGAGUUGUAUAUAGAAAAGUUUAAAAAAAUUAUAUUCAUUUGUUAGUGAAGCUUGCAUUCAAUUGCCACACCCUUUUCACAUGAACUUCCAUUCUUGUAAAAGGAGAAUAAAAAUAUGUCAUGUAUUGUCAUGUUAUGUCUUGUUCCUGUUCUUUCUCUUCACUUCGUUUCCCCCUGCUGGUCGUAUUAGGUUACCUUCUCUUCCUUU